GGGUUUGUUUUCCCUCCUUGGAACAAAGUCUGGAUUCCCAAGAGCUUAGUUGUGGGGUCUCUCAUCAACGUUAUGCUCACGCAGUAUGAACACGCUAUGGCAUGAUUUUAUACAUCUGGGGUUUCCAACGAAGAGAAUUUGUAAAAAUCUGAAUAUCUGAAUGGUUAAACGUUUUCCCAGCCAGCACACUGGAGGGUGUGUGGGAAACCUAGAACACAUGGAAUUCCUUCUAUUUCAUGGAAGAUAGAUUUAAAUUCCUAGACUCUUUUCUAUUAACUCAAUAAAAAAGUGAGGUGCUCUAACCGGCAGGAAGUUCCUGAUCUAAAUUCCAUUUCCUACUUUGAUCGCUAAGGACGUGUCUUUCUUUGCAAAGCUCCUGGAGUGCUGGGAGAACAGCAUGGACACAAGUUUCUCCCUAAAAGUGGCUAUCGGGCGCAGGAAGUCAGGGGAGCUGAGGGGAAGGCGAUUCUGUCACCUGCUCUGCUGGAGAAACUUGCUGGCCCCACACUGGCAGCACGUUCCUCCGUCGUCUGGCACAACCUGGCUUUGACCCCAGUUCCUUCCCCUUGGUACAAGCUGGAGUUCCGAACCGAGGUACUUCCUCUCACGUGCAAAACGAAAUGUCUCCGACGUGAUGAUAGGGAAAGCUGCCUUCUGUAUCGUGUAUGUCAUAAAAAUCGUUUUAUUUCUUUUAAAACAACCGGCCUAAGGCAUGUUGUGGAAGACAACCCCGCCAGCCCGCUUCGAAUGCAAGGAAGAAAGCCGCAGCCCAGCCCGGCGCAGGGAGGGCGCCCCCUGGUGGCCAGAUGGGCCGUCGGCGCAGCAACGCGGGCGUUCCCUGCAGGCUCAAUGGACUCGGGCGUCGCGCGAGCGGCUGUAGCCGAGAGGCCCAGCUGUCCCGCGCCCGCAGCCCCGGAGACACCGCGGAGCAGGCCGAAGUAGCUUCAUCCACCCUCAUCCGAGAGGGUGGGGGAACGUAGGCCAGUGCCCGGAAAUAACGCGUGCCACUUCCCUUGUCAUCUCUAGUUCCAAAACCCAGGCGAAGGAGAAGAGCCCUAGAGAAACAUGGAGAAGGCGGGGGGAGAGCGCAGCGAGGCAGGGAACGCGCCGGGGACAUUCUAGAGCCAGAACUCAGGAGAAGGCAGCCAGGGCCAGGGUAGCUGCGAGUGAAUUGGGCUCACGUUGGAGGAAUAACGCACCACGUUUUUCUAGCAUUGCUUCAAGAUCUCUUAAUCCGGCACGGGGCAAGAUCCGGAGUUUUGGCUCAACGAGCAGAGGGACAAUACAGCCCACCUUCAGGACGGACAAUGGGAUUUUGAGAAAUGUGCUAGGUUGGCAAGAAGAGUGGGAAAUAAAAGAUGACUCUUCUGGGUAAGCAAAGUAAGAAAUAUGCAGUGAAACUGUAACCCCCACCCCCCAUUUCGGAAGUCCGUGCCGUCGCCCUGAUUAUGUAUGUGUGUAUUACUGAAUUAAUUAAAAAAAAUACUUGGACUGUAGAAUUUCCUUCAGCUGCUGUGUCAAGCAAAAGAGUAAGGAAGAUCUUCAAAAACCCAUAUAUAAAGUCCCCUUAAAAAAUAAAAGGCUAAUAAGCCUAGAAACUACAAGUCGACACAAUCAAAAGCAAAUCCUAGCUAGAGCAGAAGGUACUUGAAACUCGAAUCUGCAUUCCGUUCCUCCCGUACAAGGCUCCGCGGUGGGGGAGGCGGUUUGUGCUGGUGCCGGGUGUAUAAUCGGGUUAAUCCAGUAGACAAAGAAUAAACCAAUAGCCCUCCCACCUCACUUCCCGCUCCCCUUCCCCUCCCCC